rnacentral:lncRNA from 1 species
UGUGGAAGCUCUUUGGAAACCAAGAAACACUCUGAAAAUGAAAAGGCAUAAGAAUGUUUAUCACAGCAUGGCAUAUAUUGGAAGUUUAGUAAAUGAAGAUACAUCCAAUCUGACAUUCUAUUCACAACCACAAAGAGAUAAUGUAGAAACAUAUUUAGUAAUGUGAGAAAAUACUAAAUAUUAAGUGAAAAAGGUGGAAGAGUAAACUGUUCCUGUUUCUCCAUCUUGACAGGAAGCAGAAGUUCUCCUUAGCUGAUUUUUCUUCUUGCCUUAUACUGGGUUCUUUAACACCAGAACAAAAAUAAAUAAAUAAAAGAAUCUUCCAGAAAUUCAUGAAGAGACUUCAGGUCAGGAAAGCCUGAACUUUCUCAUCCAACACCCGUUCAAGUCGGAGGAUGCUGAUUAAUUCAUGAUGGAAAGGUAUCAAUUUCACAGCCCAGACCUCUACAUUCUUGAAAUGCUCUUCUCAUGGGAGACAUUAAAUAAGCUUUGAAUUAACUGAGACCUCUGUGGAUUCUAUAACUCAAAGACCCAGGCUGACGGCUGGUGGAAUAGCUACCAUCUCAAACAUGGCGUGAUGCUGCAUCAGAGAGAAAAAUAAGCUCUUGCAUUGACAAUGAAAUGUCUACCCUGUAGUGACUUGUGCUUACUUCCACUCACAAGUGAUUGCCCAGAGCUACUUACCUGGCUCCAAUCUACCACUGGGUCAGACGUUUGCUGAAUUCAGUUCUGAGCUUUUGAACCAAAAGCAGAUCUUCAGAACAAGAAACAAGAUAAUAAAA